rnacentral:rRNA from 1 species
CGGAUUUGACGUUUGACGCUUCCGAGUUGCGAACGGGUGAGUAACACGGGGGGAACCUCCCUCUCUGCGGGGGAUAACACAUAAAAAUGUGUGCUAAUACCUCAUAAUUGCUUUUGCCACAUGACCAAAGUAUGAUGGGCGCAAUUGCGUCUAUGAGAGAUGGCCCCGCGGUGCAUUAGCUAGUUGGUGAGGUAACGGCUCACCAAGGGGACGAUGCAUAGCCUACCUGAGAGGGUGAUCCGCCACAUUGGGACUGAGACACGGCCCAGACUCCUACGGGAGGGAGCAGUAGGGAAUCUUCGGCAAUGGACGCAAGUCUGACCGAGCAACGCCGCGUGAGUGAUGAAGGUUUUCGGAUCGUAAAACUCUGUUGAUAUGAAAAAACAACAAGAAGAAUGGAAAGCUUCCUCCUUGACGGUAUCUAUCCAUAAAGCCACGGCUAACUACGUGCCAGCAUCCGCGGUAAUACUAAGGUGGCAAGCGUUGUCCAGAUUUAUUGGGCGUAAUGCGAGCGCAAGCUGUUGAUUAACUCUGAUGUGUAAGCCCCCGGCUCAACCGGGGAGGGUCAUUGGAAACUGGUCUACUUGAGUGCAUGAUAGGAGAGUGGAAUUCCAUGUGUAGCGGUGAAAUGCGUACAUAUAUGGAGGAACACCAGUGGCGAAGGCGGCUCUCUGGCAUGAAACUGACUCUGAGGCUCGACUGCGUGGCGAGCAAACUAGAUUAUAUGCCCUGGUACUCCAUUCCGUGAACGAUGAGUGCUAAGUGUUGUAGGGUUUCCACCCUUCAGGUGCUGCAGCUAACACAUUAAGCACUGUGACUGGGGGAGUACGACCGCAUGUUGAACUCAAUUGAAUUGACGGGGCCCGCACAAGCUUGGAACAUGUGGAUUUUAUUCUGAACU